UGUGGUUAUGGUCAUGAUUAUGGUUAUGGUCAUGAUUAUGGUUAUGGUCAUGGUUAUGGAUGUAGAGCUUUGUGGUCAUGGUUAUGGUUAUGGUUAUGGUUAUGUUAUGGUCAUGGUUAUGGUUAUGUUGUUAUGGUUAUGGUUAUGGUUAUGGUUAUGGUUAUGGUUAUGCUGUGGUUAUGGUCAUG
rnacentral:lncRNA from 1 species